GUUUUAUUAAAAGAAAAAGGGGUGAAAAGAACAAAGUUUUGUUCAUCUUUGUUCAUCAUAGCCUAAAGUUAGAGAAGAGAAAGGAGAGGAGAAAGCUCUUGAGUAUUCGGUCAUUAGGAGGAGGAAAAUUGAAGGUAAGUUCUUGGUACCUUGCUUCUAUUUUGAGGUUCAUGAGUUCUUCUUGAUUCUACCUUAACUCUUGAAGUGUAUUUUGAUUUUUAGUUGUGUUGUGAGCAUUUAGUCAUGAAUUAAAAUGAAGGAAAUGGUUGUUGUUUCAUGUUCUUUUGAUGAAAAAUGGAAGAUAUGUGAAGUUGAGCCAAACAAAUGACCAUGCAUGUGCCUUAGAUGCUAAAGGGAAAAAUCGGCUAACAUGUUGUGCUUUAAAAUGAUGAAAUGGAGAUUAUGCUUAAGUAAAAAUCAUAGAUAUGUGAUGAUUGAUUGGUGAUAUACAUGUUUAAAUAACAUGAAUGCAAGAUAGGUGUAUGAAAGAGUGAUUUGGUAAUAAAUCUGCUUGGGACAGCAGUAGUAACGUGACUUUGGAAAAUCACCAUAAAUUGUGGGAGAUGACUUAGAAGCUGAAUAAAUUAUGUAAUUAAAGCUUAAUGAGUCUAGUUUCAAAUGAAAUAAACUAGAACAUAUUUUGAAUUCUUUACAAUGAGAAAUUUGAUUUGUAAUGAAGAGUGGUCAGAUUAGUCAAACAGUGAAACAUGGGAAACUUUAAGAAAAAUCUGGUAUUGAUUGGCCAUACCAAAAAUUCUGAAAAUUUUAUGGAUAGAAGAUAUAUGAGUCUAUUUUCAGGGAAAAUUAACGGCACUUGAUUUGGAGUUUCGUAGCUCUAGUUAUAAAUAAUUUAGUGACUGUUGCUCAGGAAGACAGCUUGCAGUGAAAUUAUGAUUAUGUGGUAAACAUUGACAAAAAAUUGUUAUUGGGUUGCUUAUUGUUUUCUUAUAAGCUUACUAUGAUCUGUAGGUGUGGUUGGCUGAAUAUUGUAAGGGGUUAAUACGUAGUUUGUAUUUGAAUAGUUAGAUUAACGUGUUAGUAAUCCAAUUGUAGGCAGUUCGUGUGUGGAUCUCGUCAGCAUAUCGUCGCAAAUAGGUGUGUAACUAAUACCCUCUUUCUUAGUCUAGAUCGGCAAAAGUCGAAAAGCCGAAAUGCCAAAAACCGGUAUUUUGUAGAUUUGCGAGUGUGCGAAUGCUCGUGAGGUAAAUCGAUUAAUGUUUUUGGUAAGCUGCAAAAUUUGGACUGCAAAGUGAAUGAUUUCUGUGCCCUCGAUAUUUUUGGGCUUAAUGGGCCAAAAUUGGAAUGAUGGGCCAACGGGCCCAAUUCGGUAAGAACCCUCGGUAGUGAUUCUGUUAGUACGUGAAAGGUAGGAAUAUGCAUGAAAAACCCUAAAAUAGAUAAAUUACUGAAAUACCUUUAAAAGUGAAAAAUUUACAAUUUUACCCCUAGGAGAUAAAUUACCGAAAUACCCAUAGGGUUAAAUUAACCUAAAUGCAUGUUUGACUGUUGUUAUUUACUGCAUGCCAUGUUGUUAUUAUCUGAUGCAUGGGACUGGGAUAUUGACGGAGGAAGUACUGAAAGUGGCUUGUCCACGUACUGGAGGCUUUGCCUCAAUUUACUGUUAACUGAGCAGCAAGGCUGCAACUGUGGAGUGUUGGGCUGGGUGGGUUGAGCUGUUCCCCACAUGGAGUGUAUGGCUGGUACGGGUGGAGUGUAGUGGUUGGUGGGUUGAGUAGUCUCCCCAAAUGGGCUUGCAUAUGUUAUUGAUGUUGCAUGUAUUUUGAAAUGGGCCUAUGGGCCAUACUGUUAUCUGAAUAAGGGGCUAAGGCCCAGUUUAUUGUAAUCUGAAAAGGGCUCUGGCCCAGUACCACUGUUACCUGAAUGGGCUUAGGCCCAAUGGGCUUGAGAUGACUUGGACUUUGAAUGGGUUUUCCUUACACACUGAGUUUCCCCAAACUUUCCCUUUUAUUUUCAUCCACGCAGGAAAUCCCCAACCAUAGUGGGCUUGGAGCUGUGAGGGAAUUCGGAGUGGCCACCCAUUCUGAAAGUUUGAUUUUCUUCUGGUGAACUGGACAUCCUUUUAAUUACGUUUGAGGUUUUGGGCUUUUAAAUGUAAUAAGGCCGCUUAUUUAUUUUUGAUGGUUUUUAAUAUGUAUUACUAAGAUAGGUAAUACUUAUUUUAACUGUUGAAAUUGGAUAGCUUUAGGGCGCGUUUUCAAAAACAACAGUUGAUUUUAAAAUAACACGACAACAAGCAAAGCUUCCGCAAUGAAAGUAUUUUCCAAAAUUAAUCACUUUUCCUAAAAAUGACUUAAUCGAAUCGGUUUCCUAGAAAUAUCCAUGACGUUAAGGUGUGGCAAUGGCGGUAUGCAUGUCUAGGAUUGGAUCCGAAGGGAGCUUGGUACUUAAGCAGUUCGAUGGACUCACCACCUCUUUUCCGGUUUCCUACCUGGUGCACAGCUUCCAUUCACUUUAACCUAUAAUGGAAUUAUCUUUUAAAACACUAAGUAAGUUUUUUCUGGAUCAACAAUAUAAAAUGUUUUGAACGUUUCAAUGUGGCAUGUCGGAUCCGGUCAUAACGUCUGGGCCGGGUUCGGGGUGCUACAAAGUAGAAUCAACCCUAGAUCUUCCUUAUCAUACUGAACCUCCACGGCCUCCAAGUUUGAGAGAAUUUCUUUAAACAUUGUUAAGUAUUCGUGUACAGACGCACCUUCCUCCAAACGAUAAGCAUAAAGACACUGCUUCAUACGCAACUUGCUUGUUAUAGUUUUUGACAUACAUAUGUGUUCCAACCUCUUCCAUAAUCCAGCGGCGGUCUUCUCCUUCAUCACAUCCUGCAAAAUUCCGUUACACAAAUGUAGAUGUAAUUGUGUUAACACAUUUCGAUCCUUAUGUUUCUUCUCUUCAUCCGUUAAUGUCGAAGGCAUCUUAUCUAUCCCUAACAGGGCUUCCUCUAGAUCCAUCUACGCAAGAACUGCUUGCAUCUUAAUCUGCCAUAAUGCAAAUCUGGUUUUGCGAUCCAACAGUGGAAUUUCAUACUUCAAAGAUGCCAUUAUCGUGAUAGAGAUGAACUACCCGGAAGCUCGGA
rnacentral:lncRNA from 1 species